AGGGCCCUGCACCUCUGCUUCUCAGCUACGGAAAGCUGUGGCUUUGACUCACUCAGCGAGGACCACAGGUUACAGAUCAGAAUUGAAAAGGAGACUUGCCAAGAGCGCCAGGCAGGGCUCAGAAGACUAUCUGUCAGGAUGCUGCCCUUCAAAAUCCAGCUGUCGUGCUGACAGAAGCUCACAAGGAAAGGCUUUAGAUAGACACGCUGGUCAACCAUCCCAGCAGAGUCCAGCCACUGCGUCAUCUCAGGCCCAGUAUUAGGCAGCAGGGGGAGCUACUGGAACCGGGGCGGAAGCAGCAGCCAGUUGAAACUGCAUCAUGGAAGGCAGGCGCAGAGGUACAGUGGUGUGCUGAGCAUUAGAGACUCCCAGGCAGGCCUGAGCAUCGACGGUAGCUGGAUUCAGCACACGCCCUUUGAACAAAAGUAUCUCAAGUGGGUCCUGUGUUCAGCAUGUGAGUGAUAAGGAACAGGGACCCGUCCCACCUGCAAGGAGGGUUUUGCAUUCAGGUGUGUUCUUUCGAUGUUCAGCGCCCGUGUUGUGCAGAAAGAGAACAUUGCGUACCUAUAAUGAAUAAGCCCUACACCCUACCUAAACCAAGAAGCCUGGAGCACUGGUACCUCAGUCAUCUCCACAGCCACUAAUAGAUGAAGGUUGACAGGUACAUGUGGAACUCCAAGCACCAAGCCAAGAACUCACCGACAUGGUAGGAAGUGGGGGCUCACGCUUCAUCUCGACUUUUCGAGCAUCUAUGCAGAACUUGACUGUUGGCCAAUGGAUGGAGCCUCCUCAGACUGCCCUUCUAUCAUCUCCUGCUCUCCUCCGACCUCUUGGAGUAUUCCACCAUAUCCUUAGAGGAACUCAAAUGAUUGUGUGGUUUCAGUUCCCAUCCACAUGUGGGUGACUACAAAAUCCACAUCUCCUCUAAGACAGUUCAUCCAGCUGUUCACAGGACCUCUCCACCUGAAAGUCUCCUCCCUGGAUGUUGAGCCCAUAGGACCCCAACGGAGCUCUUCAGCCUGCCAUGGCAUUACCACCCAAAUAGUUCUUUCACCUCUGUCUCUUGGAUCCACUGGCUCAGUGAAUGGGCCUUGUUUUUCAUCUGUUAGCUCCAAGUGCUAAUCUUGGAGUCAGACUCUCCUGACUUUUCCAUACUGCUCUGACCCAGGCCAUUCUAAUCCUCUUCCUCAAAUUUCUUAAAUUUAUUUCUGCCAAUAUUGUCCAUGUACCACCUCCAUGGCAAGACACACAGUCUCUUCUGUGAUUGUGUCUACACUUCCUUUCUUAGUUCUUUCCCCUCCAUCACUGAGACCCCCCCCCCAGAAGUUAGGUAAAUUGUGGUUCCUUCAACUGUACCAAGUUUUUGUAUGCACUGUUCUUUUAGGCUGCAGUGUGGUCUUCAUUUCCAAGACGUAGGUUGUCUCAAUGGGUCCAAUGGGCUCCAUGGGGCUUGAAUCUAAUGCGCUCUCUGUGCAGGUAGAGAUGAGAACGAACCCCACCGGCCCAACCCCUCCCACUCUCUCCUUGGGGUGCAAACCAUCUUCAGAAACAGACAUGUUAGUCAGUGAGGUUCACUUUGAUGAAGGUAAUGGUUGGUCUCAACCCAGAUCAGAAAUCUGGAUAAAGUCUUCUUUUGCUUUUUAAGGCUAUUUGUGGGCUGCUGACUUGUGAGAAAGCCAAGAUGAAAAUACAAUUUGAUUUCUAUUUUUUAAAGAGAAAACUCGCAUGUAUUUCAUUCUUCACACUUGGAUGCUCUUUAGUAUUCUUUGUAAGAUUCUUUCUCCAGGGUGGCUUAGCUGAGCUCUGUGGCUCUCACAGAAGUGGCAGGGCCAGGCCUGCGUUUGCAUACAUAAUCAGAACUGCCUGUCUGAGCUGGUCUCCCCAGGAGGCAGCUUGCCUGGGGGGAGGCUUGAGCUACCCCUGCAGAUGUGGGUGGCACCUUCCCAGCGAGGAGGGCCCCUGACACCUCGAAACAACACUGUUGCUGAAUACCAGUUGGGUCUUCAUGUGGCCAAACCAGGCCGGUAGACUUUGUGUCCCUGACCUCCGACUGUUGUAACAUUUGGGGGGCAGCUGCUGUGUGCAAGGAUCUGUGUGGCAAUGAAGUCCUGUCUUAGUUUGGGGUCCCCUCCCAAAGCAAACUCAGAGACAAGGCCUGAGAUGCAGAUGGCUUAUCCAGGAGAAUACCUGGGAGGCCCAAAUGAGGGAGUGAAAAAAGUGAGACAGGGGAGGAAGAAAAGCCAAUGACAGGCGUUUUAAUGAGCAAGUUGCUGCUGUGGGCAAUUGGGGCGCACUUUCCCUGAGGACACUCUGAGACACAGUGUAGAACCUGCAGAGAAUCCUCCCUCACAGGCCAGGAAGCCUGGGGCAUCAAUCCACCAACUGUCAUCCUUAGGGUCUUUAACUCCUUGGCCCCAGGGGAUUCCCUCUCCUGCAUUUCAGGCUGGUGCUUUCCUGCAGCAGAGCAAGCUCCUAAGUUGCUGGAGAAACCCUGAGAGCCGGAAGUGGAGAGAGGCGGGCCUAUGAGCUAGGAAAUUGCCAGUAAUUGGAAAUUUCCCACCAUGGCCACAGGUAAGUCAGAUGGCCAAGGCAAUAAAGACCAAGGGGAUACAGAAUGGGUAUGGACAGGGCCUGCUGCAGGUGGUGAGAUGGCAUUGUCCUGAUCCUCUGCCUUCCAAGAUGUACCACCUUAUGGGAAAUACAAGCUGGCUAGCGGUCAGGCCAUUAGCUGCAGGGAUAGGCCUGACUCGGAGAAAGAUACAUACAGACCACGCGGGGGCUUGCAACUUGCUCUGGGCUGGGAGAGUUGAAAGAUUAGUGACAUCUUCCAGGAGAAGAUAUUUGGGCUGAGCCUGGGAGGAAGCACGUUCCUCAGGAGAAGGAGGAGCAAUGAACUUCAGGGAAUGCAGGGGCGAGCCUCAAACGUGCAAGGCGUGUGCAGUGAAGCGCGGGCCGCCUGGCACGGCCAAGGCUUUGGCUGCUUUACAGGAAGCAGUAGGAGAUGUGGCCAGAUUGUAAGCUGGGGCCAGAUUGUGCAGGACGUUGAACAUACCAGAGGAAGACGUCUACAGUGCAGCCCCCGGGAAGCAACGUAGGCCUCGCAUGCUUAAGGAGGGACAAGUUUGGAGCCUUUAGAAAAUUCACUCUGAGACAGUUUGGGGUAUGGACUGGAUGGUGGCAGGUGAAAUUGGAGCCCAAAGAUCAAGAUCAGGAGGUGUCUCAGUCAGGCCCUGGGCAGGAAACAGAUGGCACUGUCAAAAGGAGUAAAGGUCCCAUGGCUACAGAAGAGAGCUACUGAACAGGAGCUGGAGGCUUAGGCCAAGGAAAGAUGCCAGAACCAGCUUCUCUCUGGUGGGAAGGCUGAUGAAGCCAGGACAACAAAUAGUCCAGUCUCUGCCCGCUGACGCUCUGAGCUCUGGUCGGAGACGGACAUUGGUCAGACCCGUCAGAAGCGGGGUGACAGGACUGCUCAGCUUUUGCCUCCCACAGAUGUCCAGCUUCCAAGGCUCAGGGCAGGGUAGAGUUUCACUGGGUGGGCCUGGGGAGGUCCCCCCAAUUGACCAGAUCAGCGAUGAUAGUAGGUGAGGUUGGCAUUGAGAGCAGGGAGUUUGAGGAGCAUUUUCCCUCGCUGCUGAGUGACCUCAAGAUCACUCAGAAGAUUAUUGUGGGGUGUCAGUCUUCCUACCCCUAGAGGAUUAUUUUGGGGUGUCAGUCUUCUUCCGGUGAGCACAUACUUCUGAGAGGGAUACAGCUUUGUCUGUUAUGAACCACUGACUUGGUGGUAAAUGGAGUGUUGCUGGUGAUCAAGGGGAAAGUCUGAGUGAAUAUUUAAGAAGGGCCUAGGGAGGGCAGCUGUUGCAGAUUUCCAUGGAGCUGUACUGGAACUGUGGUAGCCACAGAGCAAUGGGAAGGGGAGACAGCACAUCUCUGGGAACAAAGGGCUAAGAAGAGGAAUGUGGGAAGACCCUGGAGAAAAGCUUAGUCUGGGCUAUAGAUGCUAAGGCCUGAUCUUAUCCAGGACUCCAUAGAGUCAUACAGAAAAAGGCCAGCAAUCCCACCUGCGGUCCAGGCACUGUGCCUGCCACCCCACACAAAGGCCUGUACAGAAAUAACCCUCAAUAGUAGUCUGAUAGGGCUGUCACAAGCUAGUGCCACAAAGCAAGUGGCUGAGGUGGCUGACAUAAACACGUGUCUCCCAGCUUCCAAGGCUGGAAGUCCAAAGUCAAGGGGUGGCAGGGCCAUGCUCCUUCUGAAGGUGUUGGGGAAGAUUCCAGAUCUCUCACCCUAUGUCUGAUGACUCCUUGACUUGGGGCAGCAUCUCGCCACCCUCCACAUGUGUUCUCCUUCUCUGUUUCUAUCACUUUGUCAAAAUCUCCCUUUUUAUAAGGACAUCAGUUUGUCCUGGAUUAAGGCCCACAUCGAGGACCUCAUCUUAACCUGAUCAUCUGCGAAUAACCUGUUUCAAAAUGAGGUCAUAUUUAGAAGUACUGGAGGUUGGGCUGUAUUUUUUUGGAGGAGGAACACAAUUCAAACCAUAACACUCACCAAUAUUCCUAAGGAGUUAGCAUGACCCACUUGUCCCGAAGUCGACCUUUGCAUUGGAGUACAAGGAGUCUUGGGGAUGCUGACAUUAAGUGAGCAAUCUUUCUGAAUAUAGGCUGACUUGUGUCCUGUACUUUGGGAAAGGAAUAUUUCCUGAAGGGCAUCAAAGGAAUUUUCUAAAUAGACCGCCCAUUCACAGGCAAAGUGUAGACAUGGGAGCGCCACAGCUGUAUUGCAACGCUCUGGAGACUAUAUUGGUAAUUCCGAGCUAUUUAUUAGGAGCUUGAGUCAUGCCAAUGUCUGGAUUUGGAAUCCCCCAAAGUAGACCCUGAGACAAGGAUUUGAGUUCAUUUGGGAUGUGAUCCAGAAAGCACCGUGAGGGGGUGGACCAGUGUCACGAGGCAGGCCCGGGGACGCCCAGGCUGCUGUUGACCUGAUUGUGUGACUAUCUCCUUGGCGGUCCCGGGAUAACUCUGCCUGUGAUGACAUCAGACUUCGCUGAUGCAAAUGUCUCUUGACGAUGGUCAUGAUGUCCCUUUCCCUGUCGCUUGUAAAACUUUGUCCCCCAUUCCUAUCCCACCCUCCAGACCUUAUUCCUCAUCCCACUGUUACGUGAUCAGACUUACCAGCCCGUAGGCUUUCAAUAAAUGGAUCAAGGGCAUCUGCUCAAGCAGCAGAGUCUCGCCUUGCAAACCUGCUCACUACUGCUGUGUCCCUCAUUGGAGUCCUGCUGCAAAGUGGCAACCAAGUUGCCAUUGCAACAGCAGCUCUUGAGCCUCAGCAUAAAAAUAUGAAAUAGGGGUUACCCCCAAUUUAUGAAGAAAUGAAGGCGCAGGGGGGUUCAAAUACAUUCUAAAAUUCACCAAGUCAGUAAAUGGUUGAUUCGGGAUUAGAAUCCAUUUCUGUAAGAUUUUUAAGAUUCUCAUCACAACACUAAUGACUGUUCUACUGCCAUGUUUCAUGUGAUAGUCAUCAGAAAAGAUGAGCUGGUUUUGUUUGUUUUUCUAAGGUGGGUUUGAAUCAAAUGCUGACGCUAAGUGGAGACACAGUGGCCCCCUGGCAGGUGGCUUACCCCCCAGUCAUCAAACUUUUGAAUGCUACCUUAAUGAAUUCCCUUGGGUUUCUCCACAAAGUGCCCUGAGAUUUGUUUUGGAGGAGGUUGGAGAGAAGGAUGAGGUGAUGCCGAAGCCCCCUACCGAGGCGCUUGAGGCGAAGUGAUGGGUGGCAGGACAUAGGCUCAGGCAGCCAGACCCAGUUUCAGUUGGUUCCUCAGUGGUUCCGGACCUCUGUGUAGUCUCCCUUUGCCAGGCAUGCUGCUGCUUGUCCCUUCCCAGCUGUUCACAAGGCCUGGGGCAGCCCCGAGACCCUGCUGAGGGGCCUGCUUAAGUCUCUCGCCACCUACCGCUGCGAUGACAUGCUCCCCCUGGUUGGCGUGGAGUGACAGUGAUAGAUUAAACGCACCAAUUAAAUUAGAUCCUAUUUUAAAAAGCUUGAGCUGGAUUUACUUUUAAUUAUAGUGCUGUGCUCGCUGAUGAGGUAUUGUCGAGGACUUAACAAUUGGUUGAUUGUGCAUCCGAGUGUUCAGAGUGUGGUUUCUGGGGAGAGACUGGGGAGGGCUUUCUUCCUAAGAAGCUUCUUGGGAUGAGACAGAAGGGAAGAAGUAGGCAGGGAGGGAGGGAGAGAGGAGGAGAUGUCCUCUCUCCACUGAGAACUCGUCCCUCUUCUCCUUGUUUUCUGCUUUAUGAGUCCCAUGUUACUCAGAGAUUUAAUCAGCCCAGUGCAGGGGAGAGAAAUGGACCAGAGGCCACAGAGCCAGUUGGGCUUGGGGCCCCACUCUCCCUCAGCCCCCACUUGACUGAAUGUGUUACCUCUGGUCAAGGUAACUGUUGUCUGUUUCAUUCAUUCAUCCAUUUGUUCAUUCAUUUUAGUGGUAUUUAUAUGAGAUUCUAGAAAGUGCUGGCAAUGUUCUAGGUGCUAGGACUGGAGUGGUGGAUAAAAAAGAGGGGAAAAAAUCUCUAUCCCAAAGAAGCUUAUAUUCUAGUGGUGGGAGCAACUGUGGGUGCAAUAAAAAAGUUUAUCACAUGUCACUCUGCUGUGAUAAAUGAGAAAAGAAAAUUCAGGUAACAGAGGUUACUUUAGACGGUGGUUUAAAAGGUCUCUCCGGGGCCCUCCCUGGUGGCACAGCAGGUUAAAGCACAGCACUAAGAAGCUUAAGCCACUUCCACAU